rnacentral:rRNA from 1 species
CCUACGGGUGGCUGCAGUGAGGAAUAUUGGUCAAUGGCCGGAAGGCUGAACCAGCCAAGUCGCGUGAGGGACGACUGCCCUGUGUGUUGUAAACCUCUUUUAUAAGGGAAGAAUAAAUGCGACGUGUCGCAUGAUGCGUGUACCUGAUGAAUAAGCAUCGGCUAACUCCGUGCCAGCAGCCGCGGUAAUACGGAGGAUGCGAGCGUUAUCCGGAUUUAUUGGGUUUAAAGGGUGCGUAGGCGGUUUUUUAAGUUAGUGGUUAAACGUCGGGGCUUCACCUUGAUUUGCCAUUAAUACUGUAAGACUCGAGUUCAGACGAGGUAUGCGGAAUAAGUUAAGUAGCGGUGAAAUGCAUAGAUACAACUUAGAACUCCGAUAGCGAAGGCAGCAUACCAGCCCGAGACUGACGCUGAAGCACGAGAGCGUGGGUAGCGAACAGGAUUAGAUACCCGAGUAGUC